UACAGAGGUCUCAAGCGUUGUUCGGAUUCAUUGGGCGUAAAGGGUGCGUAGGUGGCGCGCUAAGUCAGGUGUGAAAUUUCGGGGCUCAACCCCGAAACUGCAUUUGAUACUGGCGUGCUUGAGGACUGGAGAGGAGACUGGAAUUCACGGUGUAGCAGUGAAAUGCGUAGAUAUCGUAAGGAAGACCAGUGGCGAAGGCGGGUCUCUGGACAGUUCCUGACGCUGAGGCACGAAGGCCAGGGGAGCAAACGGG
rnacentral:rRNA from 1 species